GGUCUGGUGGUGUAAUGGCAACAUGUCCUGUUCAAAUUUGACGAUGCGCUGUAUGAUAUAUGUAUCACAGGAAGAUCCUCGUUCGAAUCUGGGCCACGCCA